AACUAUACAUUUUUAUUUGAAAUAUACAUUUUGAACUUGCACAUCCCUAGAUGUAGCUUUCGCUUUGGGCAAGAUUCCUGCUCAAAGUACAGGUAGCACUACAAUUUGCGCGCUUGUCAAGUGUACGACAACAUUACGCGCAAUUGUUCAAUGUCAACGCAUUUGAUGAGCAUGAAAUGCCUUUGCCUUUGCCAGUGAAGUACGAGUAUCUGUGUAUCUGGCGGAUGGAUUGCUCUUGUCAGAAGAGCUGCUGCGGCUGUGGCUCUUGUCGCACGGUUCCUACCAUUCAUUGUUUUGGCCCAGAGAGCCGCCUUGACUGACUACUGCAAUCGUCAUCAGGCACAAGGCACUAGGCAGUAGGCAUCAUGCACCAUGCACCAUCCACCAGCCACCAGGCGGCAGCAAUUCCCAUGUGCUGCCAUGUUCUGUGUGAUAACGAAGCCAGUCCUGGCCAAGCUCCAUUGUCGCCAUCGCUCUGUCCUGGGCCGCGAUGUUCUCCAGUUCCUCCAGGCCGUCCUGGUUGUCCCACUGGCAACGACAUCACUGACAAUCAAAAAUGCGCCGUAUGAACUGAAUUAAGCCAGCUACCAGGGGGCCUGGAUGUAGAGUGGCUACAAAGGAAUAUUUUAAGUGUAAAAGUGUGCUCCCAGCUCCCAAUUCCAGUGCCAGUCCCUCCGCCGAAACACAAUUAAUAUUUAUGACCUUGCCCGGCUGAUAUAUUUGCCUGGGCGCACACACGUAAAUGCUGCGAUUUAUCAUUCAGCGGCCCUCGCAGGCCGGGCCUGGGCCAAUCUGGCAGGGGGUGGUGUUCCGAUACAGCCGCAAGGAUAAUAGAACUGUUAACAUGGGAAUAAAAUUUCGAAUAAAAUUCAAUAGAUUCAAUCUAACUAUCUCGCAGCGACCGCGGCCACGGCCGACUGACUGCACUCCACAAAAUGCAAAUCGAAUCGAAGGCAGCGAAAUGCGAACGUGAAUCGUUGGGAAAAUUUCCAUGAAAUUGACCAUUUUCGGGUAUUUAAUUAAUUCAAACGUCACUAAUUAGCUGCCAAAAAAUACGCAGCCAUGUCAAAACGAAGCCAACCCGAGCGACCUCGCCAGAAACCCCAGCCCCUUAAACCACCUGAACCCACCUGAGCUCGGCAGCCUCACCUGGGGCGGUUAAUUAAGUCAACUCCCGUUGGAGGAACAACAGAAACACCAGCCACCACCGAAAACAACCUGGCUUAGACGGUUUAUGUUGGUUCGAAGGGAGAUUACCCCCUAAAAUAUCAUCGAAGAAGGUCUCACUCUCAAGAUACUAAUCAUAAAUUAUUGAAGACUGCACGAAUUAUAAAAUAUAUUUUUAUAUAUCUUUGUUAAGAGGCAGGAGCUGGCGAUAACGGCGAGCAGAAAACACACAAGGCCAAAAAAGAGCCAACACCAAACAAGGAUAUUGGGAAAGGAUACUACAACAAGCUGGGGACGAGCGAGUCGCGGAUCGGAUCGGAUUUCACCUUUCCCCCAGAAAUUCCUUAAUACGCACCCAAAUGAGGCUAGCAUUGAUUUUUCGGGCUUUGUGGCAUUACUGCCGUUCUGUUGGACUGUUAAAUUAAUUUUAAUAUCUCGCUGGGCGCAAACAAUAGAAAGCAAACAUUUUAACAUUUUUAUAA